AAAGUUUUCACUUUGCCUGCCUGCUCUCUCCUAGCUAGCAAGUCUAUUACUUCCCUGGCACUACAGACUCCUUGUGUGUAAUUCCAUCUUCUACUGAAGACCAAGUAGAGACAUCCAUCCUCAGGAACUGAGAACUUCUGAAUUCUUGGACUUUGCUUCCCAUCCAGCUGUUGUGGAAUAAGCUCAACUACACUCUAAGGUCGAGGACUUAACCUCAGUGAUCCAUGGAAAAAGGUAAGAAGAUGAUGCAGUCCUUCCCUGGUUUUGUCAAGGAUACAUCAGAUAUUGAAGAAAAUGCACUGCAGAGUCCACUUGUCUUGCCAGCCCAGAAUACAAGGUGUUCCAAGUCUGAGACACUUUGUUUAAGCAAAGAGCAAAGCCACUGCUCUGAGGAUGGCUGGGUUUUAGAAUGGGAAAUUUGUGUGUUUGAGAGUGUGAACUACCUGGAUUUCUACCACAAAUUUAAUUGUGCCAUGAAGAAGAGCACAGAAGUCUUCCAGAGUGAGUGUCAGAGGAAAUCACAAGUGUCCCCAGGAGAUGUGGAAAAUGACAAAGACAAAGAUACAGAGGAGCUAGACCAACCCUCACCAAGCUUGCUCAGGGAGAAAGGCUGGAAGUUGAGACCUGUGAUGGUGGAGACUGCCCUGACAAGGAUCCUGCUUCUUACAGUGCCAGGCACCUAGGCUGCUGGGCAUGGCUUCAAAGAGCUUUUCGCCAGAAGAAGUGAGAAAGCCACCCAGAACUGUUUGGAGCCCAGAUGCCUGUUAAGACUUACAAUUAGGGAAUUUUCUGUCAGCUCCUGCUGUUACAGCAUAGGCACACAAAGGCAGUUGUGUCUUCGCAGCCAUCUGGUUUGUGUUUGUUUGUUUGUUUACAGCUUUCUUAAUAAAAUUGUUAAAAAGCU
rnacentral:lncRNA from 1 species